GAAGUGUACGUACAAUUUCCGUUUGUUACGCGAUCGCGUUUUAAUUGAUCAGUUUUUCCUUUUUCUUAUUUUUAUUAUGUUUCGAGUAUGUCAAUAAAAUGACUUAAUUUCGUAAUUGAAUUUAAUUGAAUUAUCGAUCAUGAUUUCGCGAGUUAUUUCGAAUGAAUCGAGCAAAUUGAAUAUGGAAGAGUAAAUCUGAGUCACGAAAGCCAGUAAUGGCGGUGCUGAGGCACACGCCUAGGUAAUGAUGUGAAUUUAGGUCUAAUUCUUCUGAUAUAGGGCUCCAAUAUAGUCAUGGUAAUUGACUUCGUCUUAGCUUUCAAAUUAAAAUUGUCAAGGAAUUGUCUAGGAUUUUAAAAGCUAAUUAAUUAUAUCAGUGAUUCAUUUCCAUCGGAGAAAUUUCUCGCAAAUUGACACAAUUCCUCGGUGAUGAACCUGAAACAAAAUCUUGCGAUUUUUUGCUUUAUUGCCUUAGUCAGUACGGCUGUGGCAGAUCAGCAAAAUACACCUCCUCGUAUAACUGAUCAACCGGUGGAAGAUGUUGUAUUUUUCCGUAGUAAUAUGUCAAUAAGUAUUCCGUGUCUAGCAGAGGGCGCAUCUCCUCUCAAUUAUACAUGGAAAAAGAACGGAAUAUUUUUAUCGGGUUUCAAUUCAACAGGAAGCAAUGGGACGUUAACUUUUAAUAAUCCUACCAACAAUCAUACUGGCGAGUAUCAAUGUUUCAUCCAGAAUGAAUUUGGUAUUGCCAGGUCAAAUUCAGUUUCCCUUCGCAAAUUCGAUCACUUUAUCAACGGAUCAAAUAACGCAACGGCAGGAAACCCGUUCAACUUGACAUGUAAUUUUAAAGAGGAUUCGAUGAACAAGGAACAGAAUUAUUGGAGUCGAGAACAAAAUGAUGGAAAAUCUGAAAAAAUAGAAAAUGACAGAAUGACAUUAGAUCCAAAUGGUACUUUGUGGAUUUCCAAGAUUGAAACGAGCGAUUCUGGAAAUUAUAGUUAUAUAGUUCCUAUGCAAAAUAAUUUCCUGCACAAGGCUUGCCAAAUUGAAUUAACCGUAUCAAUUAGCUCUGGAAAGGAUAAGCCUAUCCCCAAAACUUUUCAACGAUAUGUGAGCAAUAAAACAGAAUACGCUGAGUAUAAUAAAAGUAAAAAAUUGUAUUGCAUAUACGAUGGAAGCGAAUCGCUGAAAAUUAUUUGGAAAAUGAAUGGCACAUCACUUGAGAAAGAUACGCCCGAUGUUGCAUUAGGAAAAUCUCAGAAAUAUUUGGAAAUAAAAAAUUUUCAAUGGCAGAAUCAAAGUACAAAUUAUUCUUGCAAAGUAACCGACGACGGCGUUGCCAACAAAACAAAAAAAACUCACAAUUUCAGCGUGAUUAUAGUUAAACCUUAUUUUACUGAGGAACCGCGUGAAGUGCAAAUAGUUGAAAAUAAUACAGCGGAAUUUGACUGCAAAUAUGCUGGAGCUGAAUACGUAGACGUUGAAUGGACAUACAAUGGAAUACCUAUCCGUGAAGCAACAUUUUACAAAAAUCUAAAUUUUGGUGGUUUUAACGAUUGUGCAUUUAAAAUAGAAAAUGUCACGAAAAAUCAUACUGGAAAUUAUGGUUUCAAAAUCUUCAAUAAGUUCGGAUCCGUGUACAAAGACGUGUAUCUUCUUGUAAAAGAUGCAGAACCAGUUAAACCAAACACGAACUCGACCGAAAUCGAAAAUUCCACUGCAGCUGCAGCAUCUUCUACCAACCCAGAUAUUCCUGAUCCAUCGCCACAGAAUACCACUGAUACAUCACCAGUUAGCACUAAACCAACUGAUGCUGCUGAGACCGGGAAGGUGGUCACGAUUGUAUUGGUGAUCGCGUCAAUAAUAUUGAGUAUAAUAGUCAUAUUUCUUAUUGUAAUGAAAUGUAAAACGGAUUCCCGUUAUAACGAAUACGAAUUGGCAGAUCAUGAUCAUGAAGCAAACUUAGGUACAACUCCUGAGCCGUAAGUGAAACUUAAAAAUUCGUUUAUCGUUGCAAUAAUCUAGGCUAUAAUACCAGAAAUCCUAGUCAAACGCAACCUGAAAGUUCAACUAAUCAUUCAGAUUCUAACCAUCCUGAGGCUAAAAAACGUCGUGGUAAGCACACUAAAAACAAUACUGCGACAGCAGAAUAGGUUUUUUGGUUGUAAUUUGAAAAUAUGUCCUAUUUCGAUCGAACUUUUCGAUGUUUGUACAAACUCAAAGAAUGUUGAAGUAUUUUUUUGUAUGUAUUUUCUAAUGAAAAAUUAUCUCGCUUUACCUACCUGUACCUACAAUGUGUAUUUAGUUUACCAAAGUUGAAAGUUUUCAUAAUUUUUUCCCUUCUUUUUUAAAAAUAAUUAUCCAUCUAUUUUUAUGAGUGCAUAUAAUAUGUAGAGGUAUGUACUCGUAUGUAUAUGUUAGUUUAUAUUAUCUAUAUCUACACAUGAAAAGUGGUAUUACGCAGCCCAUACUAGAUAAACCUCAGACUUUUUGCGGCCCAUCUGGACUUUUCGCAGCCCAGUGCCGGGCUGCAAAAAGUCUAUUCAGUUUUCAAUCGCUACAGACAUUCAAAACAAGCCAACGCAGUGUGUAUAUGAGGCAGAGUACUACUAAAGACCUGCAUUAUUCGAUUUUAUGAACUUGGCGCUACAUGCACGAGCUAUUCGAGUUCCUCACCUCCCUGGAAGCGAAUGAAAACAUUUUUUUGAUGGCGGAAAAAGUCUGGGGAAUAUCUAAAAAACAUACACUUGAGUGGGGAGCCCUCCUUAAAAAUUGAAAAUUGAAUUAUAAGCUUAAAUAUAAGUCUUUCUCCAAUCUGAUCGAGUAUAUACCUUCUUUUCAUGGCCCAGCAGUGAGCUGCUUUGAGAACACAUGGAAAAAAUCAAGCGCGGCCCUGCUAGUGCAAACCAAACGUCGGUCCGCAAAAAGUCAGUGAAAUGUCAUGGGCUGCGUAAUGUAUGGGGGCAAUCUAUACAUAUAUAGCGAAAGUUGACCUAAUGCGAAAUAUUUAUUAUUGAGCUGUGAUCCGAAUCCAUAGAUUAUAUUUACCUAGGUACCUACGUGAUUAAUUUUCAAGUCGAGCAUUUAUUAUUUUUACUUUGUUUUUCUGUUGAUAUGUGAAUAAGCGUUUUAAUGUUUUAAAUUAGGUAAUUUAUUGCUAGGUCUAAGAGAUACCUAUCUACGCAUACUUGAGUAAUUUUAAUCAAAAAAAAAAAAAAAAAAAAAUGGAGAGUAAGAAUUUCUCUUGUACCUAUAAGUUAAACCUGUUUUAAAAAAUGUAUAAUUGUUAUUUAAAUUUUUGAAAAAAUUUAUAAAACUGGCGCUUUUAUAUAAAUUUUGAAAAUAUUUUGCGUCAAUCUGAGCAAUACAGAUUUGAUUAGACGAGGAUUGAUCUAUCAAAGAAAGUUUAUGUACAUACCUAAGUUAAGCCUGUUUAGAAAAAAAUAUAAUUGUUACCUAUGUACUUGAAUUAAAUUUUUUAAAAUGUAUAAAA